rnacentral:rRNA from 1 species
AUUGAACGCUGGCGGCAUGCUUUACACAUGCAAGUCGAACGGGGGUAGCAAUACCCUAGUGGCGAACGGGUGAGUAAUGCAUCGGAACGUGUCCCGUAGUGGGGGAUAGCCCGGCGAAAGCCGGAUUAAUACCGCAUAUGCUCUACGGAGGAAAGCAGGGGCUCGCAAGACCUUGCGCUAUGGGAGCGGCCGAUGUCCGAUUAGCUAGUUGGUGAGGUAAAGGCUUACCAAGGCGACGAUCGGUAGCUGGUCUGAGAGGAUGAUCAGCCACACUGGGACUGAGACACGGCCCAGACUCCUACGGGAGGCAGCAGUGGGGAAUUUUGGACAAUGGGGGCAACCCUGAUCCAGCCAUGCCGCGUGAGUGAAGAAGGCCUUCGGGUUGUAAAGCUCUUUCGGCCGGAGAGAAAGCCUGAGCUCUAACAUAGCUUGGGGUUGACGGUACCGGCAGAAGAAGCACCGGCUAACUACGUGCCAGCCGCCGCCGUAAAAC